UGGCGGCAGGCCUAACACAUGCAAGUCGAGCGGUUGACGGGAGCUUGCUCCCUGAUUCAGCGGCGGACGGGUGAGUAAUGCCUAGGAAUCUGCCUAUUAGUGGGGGACAACGUUUCGAAAGGAACGCUAAUACCGCAUACGUCCUACGGGAGAAAGCAGGGGACCUUCGGGCCUUGCGCUAAUAGAUGAGCCUAGGUCGGAUUAGCUAGUUGGUGAGGUAAUGGCUCACCAAGGCGACGAUCCGUAACUGGUCUGAGAGGAUGAUCAGUCACACUGGAACUGAGACACGGUCCAGACUCCUACGGGAGGCAGCAGUGGGGAAUAUUGGACAAUGGGCGAAAGCCUGAUCCAGCCAUGCCGCGUGUGUGAAGAAGGUCUUCGGAUUGUAAAGCACUUUAAGUUGGGAGGAAGGGUUGUAGAUUAAUACUCUGCAAUUUUGACGUUACCGACAGAAUAAGCACCGGCUAACUCUGUGCCAGCAGCCGCGGUAAUACAGAGGGUGCAAGCGUUAAUCGGAAUUACUGGGCGUAAAGCGCGCGUAGGUGGUUUGUUAAGUUGGAUGUGAAAGCCCCGGGCUCAACCUGGGAACUGCAUCCAAAACUGGCAAGCUAGAGUACGGUAGAGGGUGGUGGAAUUUCCUGUGUAGCGGUGAAAUGCGUAGAUAUAGGAAGGAACACCAGUGGCGAAGGCGACCACCUG
rnacentral:rRNA from 1 species